UACGUAGGGGGCAAGCGUUGUCCGGAUUUAUUGGGCGUAAAGAGCGUGUAGGCGGCCUGGAAGGUCCGUUGUGAAAACUCGAGGCUCAACCUCGAGACGCCGGUGGAAACCAUCAGGCUAGAGUCCGGAAGAGGAGAGUGGAAUUCCUGGUGUAGCGGUGAAAUGCGCAGAUAUCAGGAAGAACACCCGUGGCUAAGGCGGCUCUCUAGUACGGUACUGACGCUGAGACGCGAAAGCGUGGGGAGCAAACAGG
rnacentral:rRNA from 1 species